rnacentral:rRNA from 1 species
CCUACGGGAGGCAGCAGUGGGGAAUCUUGCGCAAUGGGCGAAAGCCUGACGCAGCAACGCCGCGUGCGGGAAGAAGGCUUUCGGGCUGUAAACCGCUUUCAGCAGGAACGAAAAUGACGGUACCUGCAGAAGAAGGAGCGGCCAACUAUGUGCCAGCAGCCGCGGUGAUACAUAGGCUUCAAGCGUUGUCCGGAUUUAUUGGGCGUAAAGAGUUCGUAGGCGGUCGAGUAAGUCGGGUGUGAAAAUUCUGGGCUCAACCCAGAGACGCCACCCGAUACUGCUUGACUUGAGUUCGAUAGGGGAGUGGGGAAUUCCUAGUGUAGCGGUGAAAUGCGCAGAUAUUAGGAGGAACACCGGCGGCGAAGGCGCCACUCUGGAUCGAUACUGACGCUGAGGAACGAAAGCAUGGGUAGCAAACAGGAUUAGAUACCCUGGUAGUCCAUGCCGUAAACGGUGGGCACUAGGUGUGGGUUUCUAUUAACGAAGUCCGCGCCGUCGCUAACGCAUUAAGUGCCCGCCUGGGGAGGUACGGUCGCGAGACGUAAACGUUAAAGUAAGUAGUAACGGUCGUGUUAGACGUGCCGAAGGACGACGACGAGGGAGGAGG